ensembl:lncRNA
AUGAAUGUACUUCCUUACAGUCCACUACUGAUUAUUUGGAAAAUUAAUGUAACAUAAUUUAUGUCAGAAUAUUAACAAAUUGUUUUUUAAUAACUAUAUCAAACAGAGCACUGUUCAGCUGUGACAGCUGCUGCUGAACAUUAAGCUGUACUAUGCUCUUUUUUUAUUCACAGUUUUAUUUUUGCUAACCUGUCCACAUAUGAUCACCAUGGUCAAGACAUCAAACUAUAUAAAAUCGCACCUUUGUAAGAUAUCAGUCAGCAUUUGAACUGCCAUGUGUGUGUAUGUUGUAGUUUUUCAAGUCUAUGAUUACAUUAUUCAAGUAAGUUCCAAGCCAAUACCUGCAUUUAAAGUUGUAAUCCAGCAACUAAGGAUGCAGCAAACCAGUUUACCUGGCCUCGGUCUCUGCUAAGCUUCAGGUACUUAACCAGCGCCGCCGGGGGUGAAACAUUCCUACCAUCCCCUCCAUCGUGAUAUGAAACAUAAAAACAUAAAUGAGCAAUUCUGGCUCCACCUAUCCUGACACAAUGCCAGCUCUCCUCUCGUACUGUUGCUAUGUGACAGGAGCAGUAACCUGGAACACCUUGGCGCAAUUAGGAUAUUCUGCGAUGGCGGAGCGUGUCAUGCACAUCAUAGCUUUACAAUUGUCUUGCCUGUUACAAAUAGUCGUGGUCAGCGGGUACCUCCUCCAGGGCAGACACCUCUGCAGACAGCUGAGCACCACUGACUGUCUCCAAAGCAUGCUCCCCCUCCUCCUCCUCCUCAGCCAUCUCCUCUUGCUCAUCCUCCGGGGCCAUGAUGUCAACAACCCCAAGGCAGAUGUUAUGGAGGAUGGCACAGGCUGUCAUGACCUGAAAUGGUAAAAAAAAAAAAAAAAAGCACUGUGUCUUGCCAGCCCUGCAAACCCACGACCAACUGUCUCCAGGUCUUCGGCAGGUGUUGUGAGUGUGUUCACGACGCUGCUGACUCGGAAGAGAAGACAAUGCUGAAUAAAGUCGUCAUUUUUGUUAUUUUUGGACCA